UGGGAUGUUGGUGGAUGCCUUGGCAUCGAAAGGCGAAGAAGGACGCGCUAACCUGCGAAAAGUUUCGGCGAGCUGGAAAGAAGCAUUGACCCGGAAAUAUCCGAAUGGGGAAACCCACUAGAUGGAAAGAUCUAGUAUUUUGCACUGAAUACAUAGGUGUAAGAAGCGAGACCCGCUGAAGUGAAACAUCUCAGUAAGCGGAGGAAAAGAAAUUAAAAAAGAUUCUCUUAGUAGCGGCGAGCGAAACGGGAAGAGCCUAAACCUAGAGAUUUAUCUCUAGGGGUUGCAGGGCCAGUUCAUAAAAGCAAAGAAUUUUAGCUGAACCUACUGGGAAGUAGGACGAAACAGGGUGAUAGUCCCGUAAGCGAAAAAAGGAAAUGCUCGAAUUGGUACCUAAGUAGGGCCGGACACGUGAAACCCGGUCUGAAUCAGGGGGGCCCGCCCUCCAAGGCUAAAUACUCAUCGAUGACCGAUAGUGAACCAGUACUGCGAAGGAAAGGUGAAAAGAACCUCUGAUAGAGGAGUGAAAUAGAACCUGAAAUCAGCAGCCUACAAACGGUCGAAGGCCUAUGUCCCUUUUAGGGAAAUGGCUGACGGCGUGCCUUUUGCAUGAUGAGCCAGCGAGUUAGGUUUUAUGGCAAGGUUAAGCAACAUACGUUGUGGAGCCGUAGCGAAAGCGAGCGUGAAUAGCGCGAAUAAGUCAUAAGGUCUAGACACGAAACCAAGUGAUCUAUCCAUGGCCAGGUUGAAGCUCAGGUAAGACUGAGUGGAGGACCGAACUAGUGACUGUUGAAAAAGUCUUGGAUGAGCUGUGGAUAGGGGUGAAAGGCCAAUCAAACUUGGAGAUAUCUUGUUCUCUCCGAAAUAACUUUAGGGUUAGUCUUGGUCAGAUGUUCUACAGGGGUAGAGCACUGAAUCUCCGCGGGGGCAUACCUGCCUACCAACGGGAAUCAAACUCCGAAUACUGUAGAAUAGACCGGGAAAUAGACUGUGGGGGAUAAGCUUCAUAGUCAAAAGGGGAACAGCCCAGAUCGUCGAUUAAGGCCCCAAAUUCUAGUUUAAGUGGGAAAGGAAGUAGAGUUUCUAAAACAGUUGGGAUGUUGGCUUAGAGGCAGCCAUCAUUUAAAGAGUGCGUAACAGCUCACCAAUCGAGAGACUCUGCGCCGAUAAUAUCCGGGACUCAAAACUAGAGCCGAAAUCACGGGUGUAUAAAGAAAUUUAUACGCGGUAGGAGAGCGUAGUAUUUGCGAUGAAGGUAUACCGAGAGGAGUGCUGGAGCGGAUACUAGUGAAUAUGCAUGGCAUAAGUAAACGAUAAAGGAGGUGAAAAUCCUCCUCGCCGAAAACCUAAGGUUUCCAGGGUAAAGCUCGUCUUCCCUGGGUUAGCCGGCCCCUAAGUCGAGGUGGAAACACGUAGACGAUGGAAAACAGGUUAAAUAUUCCUGUGCCGCCUAAAGCGAUAUCGAAGUGGUGACGGAGUAAGUUAAGUGCGCGGACUAUUGGAUGUCCGUUCGGACUCGAGGUAGGUCAGUAGGCAAAUCCGCUGACGGAAUACUGGGGGUCUGACAAGGGGAACGCAAGGGAACCGAUGGCAUAGCGCGAUGCUUUCAAGAAAUAACCACUAGAUGCUGAUGGCGACCGUACCAAAACCGACACAGGUGGGUGGGUAGAAUAUACUCAGGCGCGCGAGAGAACUCACGUUAAGGAACUCUGCAAAUUAGUCUCGUAACUUCGGGAGAAGAGACACUUUGAUAUGUGAUAGGAUUUACUCCUAGAAGCGUAUUGAAGUCGCAGUGAAAUGGCCCAGGCGACUGUUUAACAAAAACACAGCACUCUGCUAAUUCGUCUAAGAAGACGUAUAGGGUGUGAUACCUGCCCAAUGCCGAAAGGUCAAAAGGAGAUGUAAGUCCGCAAGGGCGAAGCAUUGAAUUUAAGCCCCGGUGAAUGGCGGCCGUAACGAUAACGGUCCUAAGGUAGCGAAAUUCCUUGUCGGGUAAGUUCCGACCUGCACGAAUGGUGUAACGAUCUGGGCGCUGUCUCAACGAGAGACUCGGUGAAAUUGUAGUAGCAGUGUAGAUGCUGUUUACCCGUAAUAAGACGGAAAGACCCCGUGAACCUUUACUGUACUCUGAUAUUGGCUCUUGACCUGUUUUGUGUAGGAUAGCCAGGAGGCUUUGAAGUUGUGUCGUCAGGCACAAUGGAGCCAUCGGUGAAAUACUGGUCUAAAUAGGUUGAGAAUCUAACUUUACGCCAUGAAGCUGGCGAAAGGACAAUGUCAGACGGGCAGUUUUACUGGGGCGGUAUCCUCCUAAAGAGUAACGGAGGAGUCCAAAGCUUGCCUCAUCGUGGUUGGUAAUCACGAAAAGAGCGUAAAAGUAUAAGGCAAGUUGACUGCGAGACCAACAAGUCAAGCAGGUACGAAAGUAGGGUUUAGUGAUCCGGCGGUUGAAAGUGGAAUCGCCGUCGCUCAACGGAUAAAAGGUACUCCGGGGAUAACAGGCUUAUCGCCACCAAGAGUUCAUAUCGACGUGGCGGUUUGGCACCUCGAUGUCGACUCAUCGCAUCCUGGGGCUGGAGAAGGUCCCAAGGGUUUGGC
rnacentral:rRNA from 1 species